CUACGGGCGGCUGCAGUCGAGAGGCUUCCACAAUGGGGGAAACCCUGAUGGAGCGACGCCGCGUGGGUGAUGAAGGUUUUCGGAUCGUAAAGCCCUUUCAGUAAGGACGAAGGAACCGGGUGCCAAUACCACCCGGUUCAGGACGGUACUUACAGAAGAAGCUCCGGCUAACUCCGUGCCAGCAGCCGCGGUAAGACGGGGGGAGCAAGCGUUGUUCGGAUUUACUGGGCGUAAAGGGCGUCUAGGCGGGUCGGUUAGUCAGAUGUGAAAUCCCAUGGCUCAACCGUGGAAUUGCAUUUGAUACUGCCGGUCUUGAGUACGGAAGAGGAAAGCGGAAUUCCUGGUGUAGCGGUGAAAUGCGUAGAUAUCAGGAAGAACACCGGUGGCGAAGGCGGCUUUCUGGUCCGAUACUGACGCUGAAGCGCGAAAGUGUGGGGAGCAAACAGGAUUAGAUACCCCAGUAGUC
rnacentral:rRNA from 1 species